rnacentral:piRNA from 1 species
CUGUCCUUCAAGGGCAGGAGCAGG